UUCCCCAGGGAAGUUGAGAGGAAAAUUGUUGCUGACCUGCCCAUCUCCCUCCCAACUCCCCAG
ensembl:miRNA Mir6976 microRNA 6976